rnacentral:rRNA from 1 species
CAGCGUAGGGUGCGAGCGUUGUCCGGAAUUAUUGGGCGUAAAGAGCUCGUAGGCGGUGUGUCGCGUCGGCCGUGAAAACCUGCAGCUUAACUGUGGGCUUGCGGUCGAUACGGGCAUCACUGGAGUUCGGCAGGGGAGACUGGAAUUCCGUGGUGAUAGCGGUGAAAUGCGCAGAUAUCGAGGAGGGAACACCGGUGGGCGAAGGCGG